rnacentral:rRNA from 1 species
UGGUUGGACGAGGUAAUAGCUGUCUUUAUUUAAUAUAUAUUAGAAUUUAACUUUUAAGUCAAAAGGCUUAAAUUUAAUUGAUAGACGAGAAGACCCUAUAGAUCUUUAUUUAUAAAGUUAUGAGUUGGAUUUGGAUUAAUUUAAAGCUUGUAACUCUAUGAAUUUUAUUGGGGUAAUAUAAAGAUUAAAAAAAUUCUUUGAAUAGAUUGAACAAUGAUUAUUGACAAAUUGAUCCAUUAGUAUUGAUUAGAAGAUUAAGUUAC